AUGGCUAACUCUUAUCAGAUAUAUAAUAGUUAAAACAGUUUGUAUUCCUAAAGACUUUAAGACCAGAUCAAGUGAAUGAAAAGAUCGCAUAACUGAUGAUUUUCUGUAACGAAAUUAUAUAACUGGUGAGAUGGCGACUUGUUCAAAGAAACCACGUCUAACAUGUUCAAAUGAAAAUCAGAAUUAUGUCACACUAGACAAACUUUUGAAGGAAGUGGCUGAACCAGUGGUCAGAAAACAAUUUGAUAUACAGUUUCAUCCUGCAAUGUUACAGAAAACUCUAAAUAAAGAAUCAUUUAAAAUAAAGAAAUUUACCAAUGGAAAACAAUGGAAAAUAUUAUCCCCACCACCAGAUCAAAAACCAGUUUGUUCCAGUGACUUUGAUUUGACAUUGAUGAUAUUGCUGAUU